CAAUAGCGUAUAUUAAAGUUGUUGCAGUUAAAAAGCUCGUAGUUGGAUUUCUGCUGAGGACGAUCGGUCCGCCCACUGGGUGAGUAUCUGGCUCGGCCUUGGCAUCUUCUUGGAGAACGUUGCUGCGCUUGACUGUGUGGCGCGGUAUCCAGGACUUUUACUUUGAGGAAAUUAGAGUGUUUCAAGCAGGCGCACGCCUUGAAUACAUUAGCAUGGAAUAAUGAGAUAGGACCUUGGUUCUAUUUUGUUGGUUUCUAGAGCUGAGGUAAUGAUUAAUAGGGAUAGUUGGGGGCAUUCGUAUUUAACUGUCAGAGGUGAAAUUCUUGGAUUUGUUAAAGAUGGACUACUGCGAAAGCAUUUGCCAAGGAUGUUUUCAUUGA
rnacentral:rRNA from 1 species